rnacentral:tRNA from 2 species
AGGUCGUUAGCUCAGCUGGUAGAGCAGCGGACUUUUAAUCCGUUGGUCACAGGUUCGAAUCCUGUACGGCCUA